rnacentral:misc_RNA from 1 species
ACAUCUUAAAACUUAUCCAAGAUUUCCAUCUUGGGUAUUUCACCCCCUCUAGCGAAUUCUGUUUGGAAAUGCUCCGUUCAAUGGCCAUUUCCGCUUUUUGCCUAUCUCCUUUUUUUAACACAAACCCAAUUGAAAUUUCUGACUGAAACUGUUUUCUUUUCGAAAGAUCUGAAAAUACACAUUGAAAAUGUUGAAACAACUCUUAGCAACGGAUAUCUUGGCUCU